rnacentral:rRNA from 1 species
AGGUUUCCGUAGGUGAACCUGCGGAAGGAUCAUUAUUGAAAUAAACCUGAUAGGUUGUUGCUGGCUUCCUAGCAUGUGCACACCUUGUCAUCUUUAUAUCUCCACCUGUGCAUUUUUUGUAGACCUUUCAGGUUUAUGUUGCUUCAUUUACCCCAAUGUAUGUUAAUAGAAUGUUGUGACUAUAUAAAAUUUAUACAACUUUCAGCAACGGAUCUCUUGGCUCUCGCAUCGAUGAAGAACGCAGCGAAAUGCGAUAAGUAAUGUGAAUUGCAGAAUUCAGUGAAUCAUCGAAUCUUUGAACGCACCUUGCGCUUCUUGGUAUUCCGAGGAGCAUGCCUGUUUGAGUGUCAUUAAUAUAUCAAUUUUCUCUUGUUGAGUGGUUUGGAUGUGGGGGUUUGCUGGCCUUUGAAAAGGGGUUCAGCUCCUCUGAAAAGCAUUAGCAGAGCGACUCUGUUCAUUAGCGUGAUAACUAUCUAUGCUGUUGAAUGUGUGUGGUUCAGCUUUCUAACCGUCC